CGGUCCCUGUUCCCUUUGUCUAAUCUAAAACCUAGUCCUCAUCUUUUCCCUCUAGCCGCCACACCUCUCCACGGUUUCUUGUUCUCUUUUUCAAUUUCACCAAAACAAAUCUUUAUUACUCCAUGUCUAAAGUUCAUAAGGGGUUCUUUGGUUUUUAUGCAAUGCAAUUGGAUAAAUAGCUAAUUGAUUCUUUUUAUUACGCAAUGGAGGGGCAAAAGUAAUGUCCUCUUUUAUUAGAUCUGCAUCAACAAGCGCUUUUGAUGCCAUUAAUCUCUUUUGAAAUGUGAUUCCGGAGUUGGUAUUGACUUUUCUAUUUCAUAUUCACAGUUUAUUGAGCUGAAUGAACUCUCUUGCUAUUUGUUAGGCAGAUUAUGGAAUUAUUAGAGCCGCAACAAUAAUGACAAAUUAGAGGGCGGAUAUUGAUCAAACUAAGAUGCUGUUGGAGGCUGCGUGGGAGGAGAGAAGUGAAAAGAUCGUGCUGAGUUUGAGUCUCAAGCAAGAUGACAACAACAACAACAUACCCAAUGUGAUCCCACAAGUCUCAAGCAAGAUAUUACUAUUGUAAUUGUGUCAUAGACAAAUGAUGUAUUAUGAAUGUUUGAAAUUUUAGCUAUGUAACUAUGUGUAACUUGAAACCUAUUAUGGAAUACAAAAUUAACAAUGCUUGUGG